AAGGUCCUCUGGAUUGUAAACUUCUUUUUAUCUGGGACGAAAAAAAGGGAAUUCUUUUCUCGUCUGACGGUACCAGAUGAAUAAGCACCGGCUAACUCCGUGC
rnacentral:rRNA from 1 species